UCUUGAAUUAGGGAAUUAUAGAAAAAUGAAAAUUAGUAAUAAAUUGGGGAAAGUAAUUUUUUUUUAGUAUUGAGAAAAGAAAAAUUUAGGGGAAUUAUAGAGAAUUAGUAUUGUGAAAGAAAUUUUUUAAUUAAGAAAAAGAAGAAGUUUAUUUUGUACCUUGUGUAUCAGGGUUGAUUAAAUUUUUAGGGGAGAUCAAAUUUCUCGAAUUUAAAAGAGCUAAUUUUUUAUGAUUUUAUUGUAGAAUAAAUAUUUUGAAUAAGAGGUUAGUAAUGAAAUGUUAUUCGUUUUUAAUAUAUCUAGUUAUUAAAGAAAAAAGUUUAAUUUGUUUAUUAAGGGGAUUGAUUUUAAAUUUUUAAUUUAAUUUGUUUAAUAAGUUAUUUUUUAGGGGAUUAGCUUUUUAAAAAAAAAUUAAAAAUUUAUAGGUUUGGAAAAGUUAUAGGGUUAGAAGUGCUUAUUUAUGAAAUAAUGUUAUAAUUAAUUUUCUUUGGAAUUUUAUUUUUAUGAAUUUUAAGUAGUUUAUUUAAUUAGGGGUUUAAAUUAUUUAAAUUGUGAAAUAAUGAUUAAAUUAGUAAUAUUUUAUGUAAAAAUUGUUGAAGUUGAAGGUAAUUUUAAGGAAUUCGGCAAUUAUUUUUUUCACCUGUUUAUUAAAAACAUGGCCUUUUGUUAAAAAUUUAAGGUCUAGCCUGCCCACUGAAUAUUAAAUGGCCGCGGUAUCUUGACCGUGCUAAGGUAGCAUAAUCAUUAGUUUUUUAAUUGGAAGCUGGUAUGAAUGGUUGAAUGAGAAGAAAACUGUCUCAGAAUUAAUUUUUAUGAAUUUUAUUUUUAAGUAAAAAAGCUUAAAUUAGUUUAAAAGACGAGAAGACCCUUUAGAGUUUUAUAUUUUUAUCAAUUUAUAGUUUUGGAAAUAUUAAUUUAAUUUGGUAAAUUUAUUUGGUUGGGGUGAUUGAAAAAUUUAUUAAACUUUUUUAAUAUUAGACCAUUGAUUUAUGAAAAUUUGAUCCAUAGUUUUGUGAUUAAUAGAAAAAAUUACCUUAGGGAUAACAGCGUAAUUUUUUUUGAGAGUUCUUAUCGAAAAAGAAGAUUGCGACCUCGAUGUUGGAUUAAAAUUAAUUUUUGGUGAAGAAGCUGAAAUAUUAGGUCUGUUCGACCUUUAAAAUUUUACAUGAUCUGAGUUUAAACCGGUGUGAGCCAGGUUGGUUUCUAUCUUUAAAUAAUUAAUAUGUUUUAGUACGAAAGGACCAAAUUUGUAAUAUAAUAUUUUUUAAAAGAAUAAAAGUAUUACUUUGGCAGAAUAGUGCGC
rnacentral:rRNA from 1 species